rnacentral:misc_RNA from 1 species
UCCGGUUUAACACCGGCAGUCCCUCUAGAGUGCCCAACUGAAUGAUGGCAACUAAAGUCGAGGGUUGCGCUCGUUGCGGGACUUAACCCAACAUCUCACGACACGAGCUGACGACAGCCAUGCAGCACCUGUGUUCCGAUUCUCUUUCGAGCACUCCCCAAUCUCUCGGGGAUCUCGGACAUGUCAAGCGUAGGUAAGGUUUUUCGCGUUGCAUCGAAUUAAUCCACAUCGUCCACCGCUUGUGCGGGCCCCCGUCAAUUCCUUUGAGUUUCAGCCUUGCGGCCGUACUCCCCAGGCGGGGUACUUACUGCGUUAGCGACGGCACCGAAGGGGUCGCUCCCCCCGACGCCUAGUACCCAUCGUUUACGGCGUGGACUAC